GCCAUGCAUGGUCUAGUACAAGCCCCAGCAAGGUGAAACCGCGAAUGGCUCAUUAAAUCACACCUAAUGUACUGGACAGUCUCAGUUACUUGGAUAACUGCGGUAAUUCUGGAGCUAAUACAUGCGCACGAGCCCCGACUCACGGAGGGGCGCUUUUAUUAGACUAAAACCAAACGGCUUCGGCCGUCCCACUGGUGAAUCUGAAUAACUUUGAGCGGAUCGCACGGCCUUGUGCCGGCGACGUGUCCUUCCAAGGUGUGCCCUAUCAACUGUCGACUGUGGCAUAGACGCCCACAGUGGUUUUGACGGGUAACGGGGAAUUAGGGUUCGAUUCCGGAGAGGGAGCCUGAGAAACGGCUACCACUUCUAAGGAAGGCAGCAGGCACGCAAAUUACCCACUGGCCGCAGGCCGAGGUAGUGACGAAAAAUAACGAUACCAGACUCAUCCGAGGCCUGGUAAUCGGAAUGAGCACACUUUAAAUCCUUUAGCGAGGAACCAUUGGAGGGCAAGUCUGGUGCCAGCAGCCGCGGUAAUUCCAGCUCCAAUAGCGUAUAUUAAAGUUGUUGCGGUUAAAAAGCUCGUAGUUGGAUCUCGGCGCGCAGGGGGCGGUCCGUUAUUUGACGCGACUGCCCCGUUUGCGCGUGUAUCUUUGGCGGAACUCGCAGGGUGCUCUUCGCCGAGUGUCCUGUCGGGGCCGCCCGUUUUUACUUUGAAAAAAUUAGAGUGCUCCAAGCAGGCUCGACACGCCUGAAUAUCCGUGCAUGGAAUAAUGGAAUAGGACGUCGUUCCUAUUUUGUUGGUUUUAGGGAAUCGACGUAAUGAUUAAUAGGGACAGCCGGGGGCAUUAGUAUUCAGACGACAGAGGUGAAAUUCUUGGACCGUCUGGCGACUCACUGCUGCGAAAGCGUUUGCCAAGUAUGUUUUCAUUAAUCAAGAACGAAAGUUAGAGGUUCGAAGGCGAUCAGAUACCGCCCUAGUUCUAACCAUAAACGAUGCCAGCUAGCGAUCCGCGGGCGUUUUUAUUGUAGGCCCCGCGGGGAGCUUCCGGGAAACCAAAGCUUUUGGGUUCCUGGGAAAGUAUGAUUGCAAAAUUGAAAUUUAAAGAAAUUGACGGAACGGCACCACCAGGCGUGGAACUUGCGGCUUAAUUUGACUCAACACUGGAAAUCUCACCAGGCCCGGACACCGGAAGGAUUGACAGAUUGAGAGCUCUUUCUCGAUUCGGUGGGUGGUGGUGCAUGGCCGUUCUUAGUUGGUGG
rnacentral:rRNA from 1 species